CCUCUAGAGGGAAGCACUUUCUGUUGUCUGAAAGAAAAGAAAGUGCUUCCUUUUAGAUGGUUACUGUUUGAGA
ensembl:miRNA